rnacentral:lncRNA from 1 species
GGAUGGCUUAGAUUCUUGUCAAACGAAGUAGAUAAAUUAGUCCACAUAGAUCAUAAGUUAACCCAUGUGUGAUCUAGAGAGAGAGAGGGGAUAAAAAGGCAGGAGGAGGAGCAAUGUUUGUUACAUUUACAGGGAAAUUUUCAUAAAUUGACAUACUGUUUUUUAUUCUGCACAGCAGAACCAUAUCUGAUACGAUAUUAAUUUACGAGAAUAUAUUCAACUUCUGGAUUUGAGAAGGU